rnacentral:rRNA from 1 species
ACUCCUACGGGGAGGCACAGUGGGGGAAUAUUNCACAAUUGGGGCGCAAAGCCUGAUGCAGCCAUGCCCGCGUGUAUGAAANAAGGCCUUCGGGUUGUAAAGUACUUUCAGCAGUGAGGAAGGUGGAGUCGUUAAUAGCGGCCUCAUUUGACGUUAGCUGCAGAAGAAGCACCGGCUAACUCCGUGCCAGCAGCCGCGGUAAUACGGAGGGUGCGAGCGUUAAUCGGAAUUACUGGGCGUAAAGCGCAUGCAGGUGGUUUGUUAAGUCAGAUGUGAAAGCCCGGGGCUCAAACCUCGGGAAAUAGCAUUUGAAACUGGCAGACUAGAGUACUGUAGAGGGGGGUAGAAUUUCAGGUGUAGCGGUGAAAUGCGUAGAGAUCUGAAGGAAUACCGGUGGCGAAGGCGGCCCCCUGGACAGAUACUGACACUCAGAUGCGAAAGCGUGGGGAGCAAACAGGAUUAGAUACCCUGGUAG